UGAGUAGCACAGAUGGUCGCGCCUUUUAUGAGGUGAGGAAAGUCCGGGCUUCACAGGGCAGGGUGCCGGAUAACGUCCGGUGGAGGCGACUCCAAGGCUAGUGCAACAGAAAUAAACCGCCAAAUCAUAUCUGACCUGUCAGAUAUGAUCUUUGGUAAGGAUGGAAAGGUGGCUUAAGAGACCACCGCUUUGUUGGUAACAACAGAGGCAGAUGUAAACCCCACCCGAAGCAAGACCGAACAUAAAGCGAUACGGUUGCCCGCCGUGCUUUAGGGUAGGUCGCGUAGUAUUUGCGAAAGCGGAUACUUGAGCCACAUGGUAACAUGUGGUCAAGAUAGAUGACCAUUCAAGACAGAACCCGGCUUAUCGUGCUGCUCAUACA
rnacentral:RNase_P_RNA from 1 species